CGAAUGGCAUGCCGAAUUAGGCGAGGCGAAGCCGAGCCGUUUGUUUAUUUUUGUAGUGAUAUCCCCUUGGUACGAAGCGAAAAAGGUGACACACCGACAUCCCCUUGGAAUAAAGCGAAAACAGCGGUUGUAUAUAAAAAACUGUACUCACCGAGGCCGAAGGCCGAGGGAAGUUAACAGACAUAGUAUGAACAACAAAGCGACCCGCGCAACCGAGGCGAAGCCGAGGUGAGCGGACACAACGCCCCCCAACACUAAGGCCAACACUAAAAUUUUACUCAAAAAAAACUCAGCAAUCUGCUAAAACUAACGAUUCGUUAUCUAAUAAAAAGUAAAAACAGCAUAAAUAAGAAAAAAAAAAAUGUCAGAAAAACUCAGGCUGUCCUGCAUUUAACCGCUGCUAUUUUCAGCUACUGUCUAUAAUUUCAAUCAAUAGUUUUGUGAUUUACUUGAAAAAAAGUGAAAUAAUAAGAAAUUUAGAGUUGAAAUCAAUGCAGACAAUAGAUAUUUUCUACUUUUUCUUCUUCUGUUUUUCAAUACUCAAUCAAUAGUCGACUUGUCAAAUGUUUUGAAUCAUGUAAUUGUAACUGCAAGCACGAUUAUACAUGAUAAUAGAUCUGCAUCUCAUCGAAAUUAAAUGACGAAUCUCAGUGUAUCGGUAAUGAAAUUGAGUGAAAUAGUCGUGUACAGUAUUCUUGAAUGAAAUGGUGAUGUAAAGUGUAAUUAAUUUACAAUGCUCUUAGAGCGGUGAUAUUGUUAUUUAUAAUCACAAAAACCUGUUAUGUCAAUAUAGUCAAUAUGCAAGCUGUACCUAAGAAUAACAAUAACAGUAUCGAUAGAAAUCAGGGAGAAUUGAACAACUAUUUGCUUUUAGCAGAAAAUAUUCCAAAAUACCCUUGCUGUUUUAAAGAAAUAUACCCCCCUGCAUGUGCUCCUGAUAAAUGUGGAAGAUGGAGAUCAAUGUCGAAAGUAAUGAAAUUGAAGCCUGAGUCCUGUAAACGAAGAUGGAAAACUCUAAGGAAACAUUUUGGUCUUGGUCUUCUCACUAACAGACAGCUUAUUGAUAAAUUACAAUUUUUGAAGGAUGUUGCGAAAGAAAUUCCAGUCACUGAGUUGCGUAACAAUUUUGACUCAUUUCAUAUUCCAGUCGUUGAGUCGCGUAACAAUUUUGCUUCAUCUUGUAUUCCAAUCGUUGAGUCGCGUAACAAUUUUACUCCGUCUCGUAUUCCAGUAGCUAAGACUCGUAACAAUGUUACUUCAUUUCGUAGUAAUACUUCAUCGAGAUAUAUACCGAGAAAUCCAAUUAAAAGUUACAAUUUACGUUCAAGAACAAGUGGAAGCGCUGGAACGUGUAUCGCAAGGAUGAGAAUCUAUACCCGGCCUAUCGGAAUGAAUUCAAUAAUCAUUAGACCUAAUGAAGAAAACGUUUCUCAACAAACUAAGGUUGCUAAAUUAUCUGAGCAUGCGAAGGAUAUUCUCAAUACCGAAAUUACAGAAGAUUGUGAUUCAGAUGUACAAAUUAUAGAGCCGUACAUUGAAACGAUUGUUGUUGAUGACUGAUGCAGUUGCUUUGAAGAGAAUACCUUCAUAAAUAAGCUUCGUAAAUAAGAUCUUCAUGAAAUUGAUCUCUCUCAGAAAGUGGACUAAAAUGUGUAUUCUCUACUUUCUAAUUACCUACUCGCGAUAUCAUUAAUUUCUGUUAAAAGAAUGUGAUUUUUGUUUUUGAGAAUUUUUUGUCUUGUAAAAAAAAAGUCAUUACUAGUUUUGCUCGUGGUGAAUUUAAAUUUCGAAACGUAAUGCUGUGGUUUUGUGAUUACUUUAUAUUAUUAUUGUUACUUUUUUUAUUUUAAUAUUAUUUUUGAGGAUAAAUUUUAUACGUUGGAAGUAAUUUAAAUGGUUUGAAAACUUAUUGAACUCGCAAAGUCUCGUAAGUCUUUGCGAGUUAUAGGUAAGGAGGAACAGUAAAAAUGCUACUUAAGAUUUAAAUAAGUUCCUAUUAAUCAUAGAAUAUACUUUAUGUUAAUUAUUUAUCACAGCAAUCCUGAAAUAUUAGUCUGUUCAAUAUAAUUAAGGAAAAAAUAUUUCGAAGUUCUCGUCCUUGUUAUUACACGAUCUAGACUUGUUGAUGUUGAAUUGAUUGACUGCAUUCUAUUUUGAUUUUGUUAUGAGUACUUAAGUAAUGAAGUUUAGUGUGAGAAGUGUGAGGAACAAAGCACGUGAUCGUUUUUUAAUUGAUAAAUUUUAUAAAACAAAAAAUAUGUAUAUUGAUAAUGUGAAAAUUGUGGGUCGUGGCCCGUGGGUGAUAUUUAUUGCGGGUGUAAUUUGUUUUUCUAUCAAUAAAGCUCAAACUUUGAUUCCUC